GAGGGUAUAGCUCAGUGGUAGAGUGCAUGUUUAGCAAGCAUGAGGUCCUGGGUUCAAUCCCCAGUACCUCUG
rnacentral:tRNA from 1 species